UACGUAGGGUGCGAGCGUUAAUCGGAAUUACUGGGCGUAAAGCGUGCGCAGGCGGUCGUUCAAGUCGCGUGUGAAAGCCCCCGGCUCAACUGGGGAGGGUCACGCGAUACUGAUCGACUCGAAGGCAGGAGAGGGUAGUGGAAUUCCCGGUGUAGUGGUGAAAUGCGUAGAUAUCGGGAGGAACACCAGUGGCGAAGGCGGCGAUCUGGACGAUGACUGACGCUGAGACGCGAAAGCGUGGGGAGCAAACAGG
rnacentral:rRNA from 1 species